rnacentral:tRNA from 1 species
GCGGAUAUGGCGGAAUUGGCAGACGCGCUGGAUUUAGGUUCCAGUGGGAGCACCCGUGCAGGUUCAAGUCCUGUUAUCCGCA